AUUAAGGGCCAUGACACACUGACAGUGCCCGAUCUCGGAAGCAGGGUUGGGCCUGGUUAGUACUUGGAUGGGAUACUACCUAGAAAGACCAGGUGCUGUAGGCU
rnacentral:rRNA from 1 species